CUGUAACCUCAACAAGAUACACGUUAAACAAGCUGGGAUUGAAAAUAAUAGAGGAUUGGUCACCUUGGUACAACCAUAAGCAGGUUGGUGGAUGGACUACUACCUACGAAGGAUUGACCUUUAUUACAGUUAGGGGUGCGGGACACCAAGUGCCAACAACCGCGCCUGAACAGUCUUUACAACUCUUCAAACACUUUCUAGACAAUGAAAAGCUACCUUCCAUGCCUUUCUAAACAAUAGAAUUGAAAAAAAUUUGCUUCAUGUUACAGUGUAUUGGUUGUAAAAAUGGAACAAUUCUUUUUCACCUUGGAUUCAAGGAAAGAUGUAUGCCAUUUUUGGGAAUUAGGUUGAUUGCAUUAUAUUA